rnacentral:rRNA from 1 species
UACGGAGGGUGCAAACGUUGCUCGGAAUUAUUGGGCGUAAAGCGCACGUAGGCGGCCGAAUAAGUCGGGUGUGAAAGCCCUGGGCUCAACCCAGGAAGUGCACUCGAAACUGCUCGGCUUGAGUAUGGAAGAGGGUUGCGGAAUUCCAGGUGUAGCGGUGAAAUGCGUAGAUAUCGUAAGGAAGACCAGUGGCGAAGGCGAAUCUCUGGACAGUUACUGACACUGAGGCACGAAGGCCAGGGGAGCAAACGGG